CUGCUCACUUCAGCAGCACAUAUACUAAAAUUAGAAGGAUAAAGAGAAGAUUAUCAUGGUCCCUGUGCAAAGAUGACAUGCAAAUUCGAGAAGCAUUCCAUAAAAUU
rnacentral:snRNA from 1 species